GAGGAAAAGAAACCAACAGGGAUUGCCUUAGUAGCGGCGAGUGAAGCGGCAAAAGCUCAAAUUUGAAAUCUGGCUCUUUCAGAGUCCGAGUUGUAAUUUGAAGAAGGUAUCUUUGGGUCUGGCUCUUGUCUAUGUUUCUUGGAACAGAACGUCACAGAGGGUGAGAAUCCCGUGCGAUGAGAUGAUCCAGGCCUAUGUAAAGUUCCUUCGAAGAGUCGAGUUGUUUGGGAAUGCAGCUCUAAGUGGGUGGUAAAUUCCAUCUAAAGCUAAAUAUUGGCGAGAGACCGAUAGCGAACAAGUACAGUGAUGGAAAGAUGAAAAGAACUUUGAAAAGAGAGUGAAAAAGUACGUGAAAUUGUUGAAAGGGAAGGGCUUGAGAUCAGACUUGGUAUUUUGUAUGUUACUUCUUCGGGGGUGGCCUCUAGUUUAUCGGGCCAGCAUCAGUUUGGGCGGUAGGAGAAUUGCGUUGGAAUGUGGCACGGCCUCGGUUGUGUGUUAUAGCCUUCGUCGAUACUGCCAGCCUAGACUGAGGA
rnacentral:rRNA from 1 species